CCUACGGGGGGCAGCAGUGGGGAAUAUUGCGCAAUGGGCGAAAGCCUGACGCAGCGACGCCGCGUGAGGGAUGAAGGUCUUCGGAUUGUAAACCUCUGUCAGCAGGGAAGCACGGUCACUGUGCUAAUCAGCAGUGAAUUGACGGUACCUGCAAAGGAAGCACCGGCUAACUCCGUGCCAGCAGCCGCGGUAAUACGGAGGGUGCGAGCGGUAAUCGGAAUUACUGGGCGUAAAGCGCUCGUAGGCGGUAUGUCAAGUCAAGGGUGAAAUCCCCGGGCUCAACGUGGGAACUGCCUUUGAAACUGGCAAGCUGGAGUGUGUGAGAGGAAAGUGGAAUUCCAGGUGUAGGGGUGAAAUCCGUAGAUAUCUGGAGGAACAUCAGUGGCGAAGGCGACUUACUGGCACAUAACUGACGCUGAGGAGCGAAAGCGUGGGUAGCAAACAGGAUUAGAUACCCCGGUAGUC
rnacentral:rRNA from 1 species